AGCGUUUCUGUGCGGCUGCUGCAUCCCUGGUAGAGAAAGCAGGGGCGGCUGCAGGAGCAGCAGCAACCGUAGCAGCCACAGCACAGACUCCAGGGUUGGGAAUCAUUUCUACCUCUACCUCUGUGGCAACAGAAGCGCCAAGUCACAAGGAGGGUGAGGAUGUAGUCCAGAGGCUGCUGGGCUAUGUCACUCUGAAGGUGGUGAGUAACAUGCUAUUCACUGGGGACAUCAACCAAGUAAAGAUUCUAGGUCCUGACAGAGGGGUGUGUGUGUGUGUGUGUGUGUGUGUGUGUGUGUGUGUGUGAGAGAGAGAGAUGGGGGGGGAGUAGGGGCAGGGGAGCACUUACAUUUUCAUAGUGCAGAAAUACAUACGUAUCUGUGAAUGCAGUAAAUAAAUAGACCACAGUGUUUUUUAGCAAGAGAGUCAGAGCGGCCAUGUGUUCAGAGAGACGCAACCCUAAAAUUACAGACCUACUAAAGGGUAGGUCUUGAACCUAGGGUCCAGGUCCCCAGCACAAGAUUCUUUUAUUCUACGUGGGGACAUGAGAGGUGCCCUUGGGCCGAGUGACUCGAUACCCCUGGGCAUGAAGCCAAAGACUGCAGCUACAGUGUGAAUGUCACUAGGACACAUCUCUCUGCUUGCAGUGAAUAUAGGGAGCUAUUUUGAACUAAUGGCAACUUGGGGCACAACAGCAAACAGUCUGCAUUGGCCAUAAAUCUCCCUGCCCUCGUGGCUAUCUUCUCCCUUGAGGCUUUUCUCUGGGUCACAAUAUCAAGUACUUCCAUCACCUGAAGAGCUUGUCAUAACAACAGUGCCUCGCUUGGUCUGUGGACUGCAUGUUUGCUGAACGUCAUCCAUAUACCAGGGGUGAUGCAAGUGACCCCUGGCUUUGCAGUUUCGUUUAUUUCCUGGAUCUGCCAGAGAUCUCACAAGCUGACUGAGAUGCGCUCGCCAACCCCAAGGAGGCUGACAUCUGAUAUCUCAGUGCUCACCCCAGCACAGCAUCCUGAGGCCUUACUCCCCCAUUAUCUAUGCCUGACAAGUCAGGAAGACUGAGGCUGGAUAAGGUUAAAAAGUGUGAGCUGCUUAAGCCCCUUCUAUAAAGUCCUAUUUUCCUUAAUAAUCUAGUUCUUAAAAAGUUAAUUUCUAUGUUUCCUACAACCAGUAUGAUCUUUGCCUCUAGAAUGGAAAAGAAUAUUCUCUCUUCAAUUAAAAAAAAAGCAAUUAUUUAUAGCACUGUGGUUCAAACAUGCAAACAGAGCAGAGCACUGGAAAUAUAGACUCUCGGUUAGGCAUCACACGCACCAUCGGGGCAUCCUCUGGUCUACCUCAUCUUUUUCUGGGUUGUUUCAAGUUAACAAGAUGAGAUAUAUUUCAGAACUUGACUGCGUCUAUCAGCCAGAUCUACAGCUAUGGGAGCCAGGUAUGCUACUCUCCUUCCCAGUGCCUCUGUCUUUUCUCGUUGAUAAACUGGUGUCUAAGACUAAACAGUUUCUGUCCUCCCUCCGAGCACUGAAACUUUCGAGUGUCCAUUCUCUCCUUCCUUAUUCAAGCACAGUCUCUAGUUUCUGUGGCAUGCCAGAGGUGCUGCUGAUGCUGGCAGGACAGACCUGGAGGAGCUGUUGUUUGCUGGCAGCAAUAGUUCCUAUCAAACCCCCUCCAUGCAGCAAAUCUUCAGUCAUUGCUUCCCAUCAUGCACAGCUACAAGAUUGUCCUCAAGCUAAAAGGUCUGUGUCCUUCUCUCUUGCUCUUCUCUAGAGCAGCACUGGGCGUGUACUCAAUAAGCCACAGUUCCAGGCACAGUGCUAAGCCGCUUUCCUGCAUGACGUCAUUUAACCCUGACAAUCAUCCUAUUCAGUAGAUAAUAUGAUUAGCUCAACUUACAGAUGAAGAAACUGGCAACUUAUCCAAAAUGGCAUGGGUGAAAAGAAUAGGGACAGAGUUCCUGUUUGGGAUGGUGGAGACGUCUGGAAACAGAUAGGGGUAAUGGUUAAAUGACAUUGGGGGUGUAUUUAAUGCUACUAUUUUGAAUGGUGCUGGGUUUGGUGGCUCAUGUGGGGAGCUGAGGAAGGAGGGUCGCCACAAAUUCAAAGUCAGCCUGGGCUACAGAGUGAGUUCCAGGCUAGCCCAGACUUCAGAAUAAGAUCCUGUCUCAAAAUAAAAAGCUAAAAUGUUAAACUCAUGUUGCAUAUAUUUUACCACAAUAAAAGAAGAGAGGUAGGAUCAGGGGUAUAGUUCAGAAGGUAGAAUAUUUGUCUAGCUCUCAGGAAGCCCUGAGUUCAAGCCCCAGCACCACACAAAACUAGGAGUGGAGGCUCGUGCCGGAAAUCUCAGAGUUCAAGAGGUAGCGACAGACGAACCAGAAGCCCAAGGUCAUUCCUGGCUAUAUACUGAAGCUAGCCUGGGUUUCAUGAGAUUUGUCUUAAAGAAAGG
rnacentral:lncRNA from 1 species